rnacentral:rRNA from 1 species
CUGCAUGAAGUCGGAAUUGCUAGUAAUCGCAGAUCAGCAUGCUGCGGUGAAUACGUUCCCGGGCCUUGUACACACCGCCCGUCACACCAUGGGAGUCGGUAACACCCGAAGUCGGUAGCCUAACCGUAAGGAGGGCGCCGCCGAAGGUGGGAUUGAUGACUGGGGUGAAGUCGUAACAAGGUACC